rnacentral:rRNA from 1 species
UGAGCUCAAAUUUGAAAGCUGGCGUCUUCGGCGUCCGCGUUGUAAUCUCGAGACGUGUUUUCCGUGCGGCUCUAUGGACAAGUCCCUUGGAACAGGGCAUCGUAGAGGGUGAAAAUCCCGUACUUGCCAUGGAAGUACCGUGCUUUGUGAUACACGCUCCAAGAGUCGAGUAGUUUGGGAUUGCUGCUCAAAGUGGGUGGUAGACUCCAUCUAAAGCUAAAUAUCGGGGAGAGACCGAUAGCGAACAAGUACCGUGAGGGAAAGAUGAAAAGCACUUUGGAAAGAGAGUUAAAAGUACGUGAAAUUGUCGAAAGGGAAGCACUUGAAGUCAGCCAUGCUGCUUGAGACUCAGCCUGGCUUUUGCUUGGUGUAUUUCUCGGUAGCAAGCCAGCAUUGGUUUGUGUCGUCGGAGAAGCGUAUGGGGAAUGUGGCAUCCUCGGAUGUGUUAUAGCCCUGUGCAGGAUACGACGACGUAGACCAAGGAACGCAGUGUGCCCUCUGGGCGGGUCUUCG